UACAGAGGUCUCAAGCGUUGUUCGGAUUCAUUGGGCGUACAGGGAGCGUAGGCGGUUCGGUAAGCCCUUUGUGAAAUCUUCAGGCUUAACCUGGAACAGUCGGAGGGGACUGCCGGGCUAGAGGACGGGAGAGGAGCGCGGAAUUCCCGGUGUAGCGGUGAAAUGCGUAGAGAUCGGGAGGAAGGCCGGUGGCGAAGGCGGCGCUCUGGAACGUUUCUGACGCUGAGGCUCGAAAGCGUGGGAGCAAACAGG
rnacentral:rRNA from 1 species